rnacentral:tRNA from 1 species
GCCAAGAUAGUUCAAUUGGUUAGAACAUUAAUUUCAUGCGUUAAUAAUGAGAAUUCAAUUUCUCUCUUGGUA